CGAUGCGAUCAUACCAGCAUUAAAGCAUCGGGUCCCAUCAGAACUCCAAAGUUAAGCAUGCUUGGGCAAGAGUAGUACUAGGAUGGGUGACCUCCUUGGAUGUCCUCGUGCUGCAUUCC
rnacentral:rRNA from 2 species